rnacentral:rRNA from 1 species
UUUUUAAAUUGCUGUGGUAUUUUGACUAUACAAAGGUAUUGAAAUAAGAUUUUAAUUAGAAUGCUAAGAGAAUGGAAUUUCAGAAAAAAACUUUUUUAAAAUUAAAAAUUGAACUUUUUUUAAUUUGUGCAGAAACAAUUAUUUAAAUUAAGGACAAGAAGACCCUAAGAAUUUAUGAAUUUAAAUAAUGUAUUUUUAUAUUAAUUAAAUUUUGGCUGGGGCGGCUGAGAAAUAUUAAGAACUUUUUACCUUAACAUGACCCAUUAUUAAUGAUUAAAUGAAAAAUACUCUAGGGAUAACAGCGUUAUAUUUUUUGAUAGCCCAUAUUGACAAAAAAGUUUGCGACCUCGAUGUUGGAUUAGGAUGCUAUUUUAAUGAAGAUAUUAAAAUAAGAAGUUUGUUCAACUUUUAAAUUCCUACUUGAUCU